rnacentral:rRNA from 1 species
CCAAGGAGUCUAGCAUGUGCGCGAUUCAUUGGGACUCUAACGAAACCUAAAGGCGCAAUGAAAGUGAAGGUUCGCCACGCGCGAACCGAGGGAGGAUGGACGGUCGUUCGUGGCCGUCCCGCACUCCCUGGGCGUCUCGUUCUCAUCGCGAGAAGAGGCGCACCAAGAGCGUACACGCUGGGACCCGAAAGAUGGUGAACUAUGCCUGGUCAGGACGAAGUCAGGGGAAACCCUGAUGGAGGUCCGUAGCGAUUCUGACGUGCAAAUCGAUCGUCGGAACUGGGUAUAGGGGCGAAAGACUAAUCGAACCAUCUAGUAGCUGGUUCCCUCCGAAGUUUCCCUCAGGAUAGCUGGCGCUCGCUUCUCGCGAGUCUCAUUCGGUAAAGCGAAUGAUUAGAGGCAUUGGGGUCGAAACGGCCUCAACCUAUUCUCAAACUUUAAAUGGGUGAGAUCUCCGGCUUGCUUGAACUGUGAAGCCGCGAGAUAUCGGAUCAGAGUGCCAAGUGGGCCACUUUUGGUAAGCAGAACUGGCGCUGUGGGAUGAACCAAACGCCGAGUUAAAGCGCCUAAAUCGACGCUUAUGGGAUACCAUGAAAGGCGUUGGUAACUUAAGACAGCAGGACGGUGGCCAUGGAAGUCGGAAUCCGCCAAGGAGUGUGUAACAACUCACCUGCCGAAGUUACUAGCCCUGAAAAUGGAUGGCGCUGAAGCGUCGUGCUUAUACUCUGCCGUCAGCGGCAUGUGAGACGGCCCUUAUGAGGUCGUCAUGAAGCCCUGACGAGUAGGAGGGUCGCGGCGGUGAGCGCAGAAGGACCAGGCGCGAGCCAGUCUGGAGCCGCCGUCGGUGCAGAUCUUGGUGGUAGUAGCAAAUACUCCAGCGAGGCCCUGGAGGACUGACGUGGAGAAGGGUUUCGUGUGAACAGCCGUUGCACACGAGUCAGUCGAUCCUAAGCCAUAGGCGAAAGCCGAUGUCGAUGCGGUGUAUCUUUCAGUGUCUGUAUGCUGCGCGCGCUAGCUAGCUGCUGCUCUUGUGUGUAGCUUAUGCUGCUGCCGCUGCUGUUAAGGCGGAGAGACUCACACCCGUCGGGCGAAAGGGAAUCCGGUUCCUAUUCCGGAACCCGGCAGCGGAACCGUUAUUAAGUCGUGCCCUCAUUCAGAGAGUUCGUCGGGGCAACCCAAAAGGACCUGGACACGCCGUCGGGAGAUCCGGGAAGAGUUUUCUUUUCUGCAUAAGCGCUCGAGUUCCAUGGAAUCCUCUAGCAGGGAGAUAUGGUUUGGAGCGCGAAGAGCACCGCAGUUGCGGCGGUGUCCGGAUCUUCCCCUCGGACCUUGAAAAUCCAGGAGAGGGCCACGUGGAGGCGUCGCGCCGGUUCGUACCCAUAUCCGCAGCAGGUCUCCAAGG